rnacentral:lncRNA from 1 species
UCUGAGACCUCCCUACUGGGCCCUUCAGACAGCUGCUCCCAUGACCGGCGAGAUGCCCAGCACCUGUCUUUGUUCCUGGCAGACUGCAAGGGUGCAGGCCCCUCCCAAACAGAAGCAGGCCUCCUGGCUCUACCACCAAAGCAAAUCUACUAUCCAGUGUUCAGUCACUUCCUUUGAGAGGCUACUACGUCGUGGUGACUUGAUCCAAACAUCCAAGGUCCUCUGA